rnacentral:rRNA from 1 species
UACGUAGGGUGCGAGCGUUAAUCGGAAUUACUGGGCGUAAAGCGUGCGCCAGGCGGUUUUGUAAGCCAGAUGUGAAAUCCCCGGGCUUAACCUGGGAAUGGCAUUUGGGACUGCAAGGCUUGGAGUGCGGCAGAGGAGACUGGAAUUCCUGGUGUAGCAGUGAAAUGCGUAGAUAUCAGGAGGAACACCGAUGGCGAAGGCAGGUCUCUGGGCUGACACGUGACGCUCAUGCACGAAAGCGUGGGGAGCAAACAGG